GAUGAACGCUGGCGGCGUGCCUAAUACAUGCAAGUCGAGCGAACGGACGAGAAGCUUGCUUCUCUGAUGUUAGCGGCGGACGGGUGAGUAACACGUGGAUAACCUACCUAUAAGACUGGGAUAACUUCGGGAAACCGUAGCUAAUACCGGAUAAUAUUUUGAACCGCAUGGUUCAAAAGUGAAAGACGGUCUUGCUGUCACUUAUAGAUGGAUCCGCGCUGCAUUAGCUAGUUGGUAAGGUAACGGCUUACCAAGGCAACGAUGCAUAGCCGACCUGAGAGGGUGAGCGGCCACACUGGAACUGAGCCACGGCCCAGACUCCUACGGGAGGCAGCAGUAGGGAAUCUUCCGCAAUGGGCGAAAGCCUGACGGAGCAACGCCGCGUGAGUGAUGAAGGUCUUCGGAUCGUAAAACUCUGUUAUUAGGGAAGAACAAAUGUGUAAGUAACUGUGCACGUCUUGACGGUACCUAAUCAGAAAGCCACGGCUAACUACGUG
rnacentral:rRNA from 1 species